rnacentral:rRNA from 1 species
ACAGUUUGAUCCUGGCUCAGAUUGAACGCUGGCGGCAGGCCUAACACAUGCAAGUCGAGCGGAUGAUGGGAGCUUGCUCCCGGAUUCAGCGGCGGACGGGUGAGUAAUGCCUAGGAAUCUGCCUGGUAGUGGGGGACAACGUUUCGAAAGGAACGCUAAUACCGCAUACGUCCUACGGGAGAAAGCAGGGGACCUUCGGGCCUUGCGCUAUCAGAUGAGCCUAGGUCGGAUUAGCUAGUUGGUGGGGUAAAGGCCUACCAAGGCGACGAUCCGUAACUGGUCUGAGAGGAUGAUCAGUCACACUGGAACUGAGACACGGUCCAGACUCCUACGGGAGGCAGCAGUGGGGAAUAUUGGACAAUGGGCGAAAGCCUGAUCCAGCCAUGCCGCGUGUGUGAAGAAGGUCUUCGGAUUGUAAAGCACUUUAAGUUGGGAGGAAGGGCAGUAAGUUAAUACCUUGCUGUUUUGACGUUACCAACAGAAUAAGCACCGGCUAACUUCGUGCCAGCAGCCGCGGUAAUACGAAGG